GUACAAUAAGAACUUCAAGACACUGAAGAAAGAAAUUGAAGAAGUCCUCAGAAGAUGGAAAGAUCUCCCAUGCUCAUGGAUCGGCAGGAUUAAUAUAGUAAAAAUGGCCAUUCUACCAAAAGCGAUCUACAGAUUCAAUGCAAUCCCCAUCAAAAUACCAAUCCAAUUCUUCAAAGAGUUAGACAGAACAAUUUGCAAAUUCAUCUGGAAUAACAAAAAACCCAGAAUAGCUAAAACUGUCCUCAACAAUAAAAGGAUUUCAGGGGGAAACACUAUCCC
rnacentral:lncRNA from 1 species